rnacentral:rRNA from 1 species
CCUACGGGUGGCAGCAGUGAGGAAUAUUGGUCAAUGGGCGCGAGCCUGAACCAGCCAAGUCGCGUGAGGGAUGACGGUCCUACGGGUCGUAAACUUCUUUUAUAAAGGAAUAAAGUGUGGGACGUGUCCUAUUUUGUAUGUACCUUAUGAAUAAGGAUCGGCUAACUCCGUGCCAGCAGCCGCGGUAAUACGGAGGAUCCGAGCGUUAUCCGGAUUUAUUGGGUUUAAAGGGUGCGUAGGCGGCCUGUUAAGUCAGUUGUGAAAGUUUGUGGCUCAACCGUAGAAUUGCCGUUGAAACUGGGGGUCUUGAGUAUGGUUGAGGCAGGCGGAAUGCGUGGUGUAGCGGUGAAAUGCUUAGAUAUCACGAAGAACCCCGAUUGCGAAGGCAGCCUGCUAAGCCAUGACUGACGCUGAUGCACGAAAGUGUGGGUAUCAAACAGGAUUAGAUACCCCAGUAGUC